rnacentral:rRNA from 1 species
AGGGAAUAUUGGGCAAUGGACGAAAGUCUGACCCAGCCAUGCCGCGUGCAGGAUGACUGCCCUAUGGGUUGUAAACUGCUUUUCUACGGGAAGAAACACUCAUACGUGGGUGAGCUUGACGGUACCGUAGGAAUAAGGAUCGGCUAACUCCGUGCCAGCAGCCGCGGUAAUACGGAGGAUCCAAGCGUUGUCCGGAUUCAUUGGGUUUAAAGGGUGCGUAGGCGGACUACUAAGUCAGGGGUGAAAUCUUGCGGCUCAACCGUAAAAUUGCCUUUGAAACUGGUAGUCUUGAGUUCGGUCGAGGUGGAUGGAAUGUGUCAUGUAGCGGUGAAAUGCCUAGAUAUGACCCAGAACACCAAUUGCGAAGGCAGUUCACUAGACCGACACUGACGCUGAGGCACGAAAGCGUGGGGAGCGAAC